rnacentral:lncRNA from 1 species
GAUUUAUAUAAGAUAAAUGGAGUCUUAUGUUUGUUUGGUCAUAUGUUUUGCAUGCCUCACAGAAGACAGCAAAACAAUUGGAGUUAUGCCCAAUGAAUGUCACCACAACCUGUAUAUACAUUCAACACAACUGCAAUUGUAAGCUAGGGUUGGCCCCUACUACUCAGAGUUGGUCUUCACCGAAGCUGCAGCAACAGUCGAGACCAUGGAGUCCACGCCACAGAUGUUUCGGCCCCUGCAGAUUUUGUAGAAUCCAUUCUCUCCCCAGUUCUCUCCCCAGGAGUUCUUGAUGAUCCAGUAUGGCUUUUCCUUCAAUCUGAUGGGAGAAUAUCCAGCUGCACCGUAACCUACGAGUAACACCCCGUGAUCCAACCGCUUUGAGCAUAUGUAGGGGCAUGAAACUCCACCAACAUAAGUUUGCAUGAACACCGCGUUAAUAGCCACUGCACUCGAACAACGGAAAAUCGUUAACACCAGCCAAUCCUAACCACUAUUAGAGCUUAUGCCAACAUCUUUAACGUAACGCUCUGAAAUUUCACGAUGAACAUAUGAAUAACAAACUACUUAUUAACAGAAAGGGAAAGAAACAAAAUUACAAAUUUCUAAAGUUCUAAGUACCUGCAAGAGGACCAUUUUUCACAAGGUUGGCAGCAAUUUGAUCCUCAUCGAGGGAGACAACGCUGAAAUUGGAAACUGAUGCUGCGAUUUUGCUCUCGUCAAAUUUGCAGGUUCCACGAUCAGUACCAGUGUAUGGAUAAUCCUCUUCCUUCAUUAGUCCACCAGCUUUGAGUGUGUACUCAAAGGCACUGUUCAUGAGUCCACCAUUGCAUCCGGAGUCACAUGAACCUGCCUCCUCUGGAUCACACUGCACAAUGUUCAGAAGGAACGCGUAAGAAACAGCAAUUUAAGGAAAAAUCCUCUCAGUAGGAGUCAUCAUAGAAUGAUUGCAAAAGUCAAGCAGUUCUAUUGCUCAAUAACAAGCAUCAUUCAUUAUGUACUACUACGAAACACAAACACAAGAACUUGAUAACACCAUUCGACAUGCAUUCCUAAUGUAUUAUCAAAGACAACAAAUUGCAACACAUGUAGAAUGAGAACGGUGCUUCAUAAGCAGGAGCGCAUACAUUUCAUCAACGCUGGUUAAAAACAAGAACCACUUCUGUUUCAAAUCCUUCAACACAAUAAGCAAACAACAACCAUUGACCUUUUAGAUCCAAAUGAAACUUAUACAUAUCACAAUCUUAAUAAAUCCAAGACAAAACCCGCCAUGAAUUGUGAUAAACAAAUUAAAACCAAGCAACGCCCGGUUAAAGUAUUCAACAAUCAUGUCACUCCUGAACUCAACACAGAACAGACUAAUACUCACCAACAAUAAGGUUAUAAAUACAACAGAUAUAACAAACAGCAGACACCAAUCACAUCAUAAAGACCAUAUUUCCUGCAACUUAUAAACCAAAUUUUUAGCUAAAUCCUUACAAUUUCAACCUUUUUCCAUUCUCCUUGUGACAAGUGUUGAGACUUCAGACACCGUCUCAGGGUAUGUUAUAAAUGCAACCAAAAAGUUCAAGUUUGUGCCCUUCACUACUGCCAGACAAAAACAAAGUAUAUUUGAGGAAGAUAACUAUUCGUCCUCAUCCAGAUUCCAUGUGGGGCCUCCACAUGCAGACCACAAUUACAAAUUAUUUGAACAAAACAAUUGUAACAAAUAUUCUGACACAAACCCAAAAGAAUUUGCCAAUCAAAAUCGAACAAAAUCAACCAAUCGAAAUCCCCAAAAUAUAUACAAACUAAUAAAAACGCCCAAUUCUUCAUACAGCAGAAACACACCAAAUAAAACAAAAAGAAAAAGAAGCAGUCAAACCUCAUGAUCGCAAUCCACAAGCUGCUGCUCGCUGAGGCUCACAAGAUCUCCAGUUGCGAGAAAGUGUGCACCUUCCAACGCUCCUGUAGUACUGAAACUCCAGCACGAUCCGCACGAACCCUAAUUUCCAAAAAAAAAAAACACCCCGAAUAUCCCAAUCAAUAAACAGAUACCUUAAAGUUAAGUUACAAAAAAAUUACUAAAAAUAAAAAGAAUAAAAGACCUGAUUUUUAACGGCGGUGACGGCUCCAUGCUCCCUCCAAUCAAAAUCCUCAGGCAGAUUCUCCGUCGGGAGAAUCGGAGCCUUGGUGGCGUCCUCGGGCAGCUUCAGCCCUCUGAGUCCGAGUUGACUUUUCCGGAACUCGGCAGGGGUCAUAUCGGAGAACCGAGUCACGCCGUGCUGAGCCGAGGGGUCGAGCCGCUGGUGGCGCGCGGCACGGCGGAGGUUCGCCUUGAACACGUCGAACCUGUAGUCGUGCUCCUCCUUGCUCGCGUACGACUUGCCGUAUUUGUGCUUGAAGAGCGAGAAGUGGUGCUCGGCCCCGAGAACGUGGUCGUGGUCGUGGUCGUGGUGGGACUCAUCGCCGCCGUCCACCACUUGCCUGAUCAGGGGAUCUGCGCUGUCCGAUUGCGCACGCGAGACGAUCAGGAGAGAGAAAGUGACGAGGAGAGAGAGAAUGCGUUCCAUUGUUG